AUUCUAAUAGUUUAGGUAAAAUUAAAGCUUGUGGUGCUUUUGUCGUGGUUUCACUUAGAAUA
rnacentral:tRNA from 2 species